rnacentral:rRNA from 1 species
AGUCGAACGGUAACAGGAAGCAGCUUGCUGCUUCGCUGACGAGUGGCGGACGGGUGAGUAAUGUCUGGGAAACUGCCUGAUGGAGGGGGAUAACUACUGGAAACGGUAGCUAAUACCGCAUAACGUCGCAAGACCAAAGAGGGGGACCUUCGGGCCUCUUGCCAUCGGAUGUGCCCAGAUGGGAUUAGCUUGUUGGUGGGGUAACGGCUCACCAAGGCGACGAUCCCUAGCUGGUCUGAGAGGAUGACCAGCCACACUGGAACUGAGACACGGUCCAUACUCCUACGGGAGGCAGCAGUGGGGAAUAUUGCACAAUGGGCGCAAGCCUGAUGCAGCCAUGCCGCGUGUAUGAAGAAGGCCUUCGGGUUGUAAAGUACUUUCAGCGGGGAGGAAGGGAGUAAAGUUAAUACCUUUGCUCAUUGACGUUACCCGCAGAAGAAGCACCGGCUAACUCCGUGCCAGCAGCCGCGGUAAUACGGAGGGUGCAAGCGUUAAUCGGAAUUACUGGGCGUAAAGCGCACGCAGGCGGUUUGUUAAGUCAGAUGUGAAAUCCCCGGGCUCAACCUGGGAACUGCAUCUGAUACUGGCAAGCUUGAGUCUCGUAGAGGG